rnacentral:tRNA from 1 species
GCGGGAAUAGCUCAGUGGUAGAGCACAACCUUGCCAAGGCUGGGGUCGCGAGUUCGAAUCUCGUUUCCCGCUCCA